CCUACGGGAGGCAGCAGUGGGGGAUAUUGCACAAUGGGGGAAACCCUGAUGCAGCGACGCCGCGUGGGCGAAGAAGUAUUUCGGUAUGUAAAGCCCUAUCAGCAGGGAAGAAGAAAUGACGGUACCUGAGUCAUCAGCACCGGCUAAAUACGUGCCAGCAGCCGCGGUAAUACGUAUGGUGCAAGCGUUAUCCGGAUUUACUGGGUGUAAAGGGAGCGCAGGCGGCACGGCAAGCCUGAUGUGAAAGCCCGCGGCCCAACCGCGGGACUGCAUUGGGAACUACCGGGCUGGAGUGCCGGAGAGGUAGGCGGAAUUCCUAGUGUAGCGGUGAAAUGCGUAGAUAUUAGGAGGAACACCAGUGGCGAAGGCGAGAACUUAGGCUAUCACUGACGCUUAGGCUCGAAAGUGUGGGGAGCAAAUAGGAUUAGAUACCCCAGUAGUC
rnacentral:rRNA from 1 species